UCCGAGGCUGCCGACACUACAGGGAUCCUCUCCCUUUUAUAUGCCAUGCUUCAGCUCCGUGCGCAAGCACUCUGUAACCUCGUUCCUCUCCUUUGCUCUCUAAGUCUCUAAGUACAGAGAGAAAAGAAAGCUCAGUAAGCACUUUCACUCGUGAUUUAGGGCGAUUUAGAGUUGGAUUUUGAGGAUGAUGAAGUUGAAGAAAAGAUAGAUUAAGGCAUUAUUUCAGCACUUGGAGGAGUCAUUUGGAGUUUCUGUAGUAGGAAUAGCCGUGCAAAGUGAACUACGAAGUUGAAGAUCAAGGUAAAAUAAUUCAUCUUAGUAUCAAACAAGGAGGAGAAGACGUGAUUGAAGAAAUUGUGUUUCCAUUUUCGCUGUCCCAUUUUGAGGUUGACGAGGUUCAUAUAGUACCGGCGACGGAUAUUUAUUGGAACUAUUUUGACGCUUAAUUGCAUUCGCAAGCACAUCCAUAUUGCAGCUAAGGUGAAAAAUGACACUGUAAUUUUGUUAAUAUUUUUUGUAUUGAUGUAGUAUUG